GAUGAACGUUGGCGGUGUGCCUAAUACAUGCAAGUCGAACGAAGUUGAUAGCAAUAUUAGCUUAGUGGCGAACGGGUGAGUGACGCGUUGGUGAUCUGCCUUGAAGUGUGGAAUAACGUUUCGAAAGGAACGCUAAUACCGCAUGUGCUCUCGAUUUUCAGAAAGUUGAGAGUAAAGGAUUUAUUCGCUUCAAGAGGAGCCUGCGUCCCAUCAGCUGGUUGGUAGGGUAACGGCCUACCAAGGCUAUGACGGGUAGGGGACCUGAGAGGGUGGCCCCCCACAAUGGAACUGAAACACGGUCCAUACACCUACGGGUGGCAGCAGUAGGGAAUAUUAGAAAUGGACGAAAGUCUGAUCUAGCAACACCGCGUGUGCGAAGAAGGCCUUCGGGUCGUAAAGCACUUUUUGGUAAGGAAUAGGAAGGAAUGUACUUCCAGAAUAAAGUCUCGGCUAACUACGUGCCAGCAGCCGCGGUAAACUAGUCUACA
rnacentral:rRNA from 1 species